AUCCAAAGGUCAUUGCUUUACUCAAUAAUCCAAAAACAACACUUGUAAACAAAUCUUGGUUCCAUUUUGAAUGAAUAUCAUCUCAAGCCAGGGAGAGGUGAGGCACUGAAUCUCAUCAAUUUUGGACAAAUCAACUCAUAACAGUUUUUCAUUUUUUAUUAUGUUAAUACUGUUAAUCAAGCGCGCGUGCCAGUGAAAUUCCCGGGUUGCACUAUAAAGGCCAGCCGGUAACCUUGAUACCACUGACCUAUUGGUUCAACGGCGAUGUGCUUCUAUUUUAAUAGGAGAAUUAGGAGUUUAUAUCAUGUAAUUUCAAGAGGAUAAUGUGCCGGUCCGUAAAGAAAUUGGUUUGAAUAGUUCAUUGCAAAUUAUAAAAUAUUUUAUCUAACAUGACUUCAAAACCCAUAAUUCUUGUGUGCUGAUUGUAGGAAUUUUAGUUUGGUACUGGGGUGGCCGAGAGCUCAUAAAAUUUGCACUGUGUUUGGUGGUGAAACUGUCCAAAAGUGGUUCAAAACGUUUCCUUCUGGAAAGAAGGGAUUGAAGAUGAACCAUCGUCUUGCAGACCUGUCUUGAAUGACAACAAAUUGAGGGAAGCUAUCUGCAAGACCAUAUAUAGACCCAAAACCUAUUCUUUGGAUAAGAAAAACAAUCACAGAACCCUCUAUCACUGAAUGGAUUCAAUAAAACAAAAGGAGAUGAGGAAGAAACUCCGCUGGCGCUAAAAACAGUAAACAACGCUCAACAAACUUGAACUCACUGCUACAGGUAGAGACUCAACAGGAAUGAUAGGAUUAUUCACCUAUCACAGGAUCUGAGAAAACAUCUACACAACAUGGGCAUAUUCCAUUACCCAUUUGUAGAUAAUACAAUGAGGUGUAAGAAACUGCCAACCAUGCUUCAAAUGUGAACAUCCCAAUAGAGAUAUAGCCUGGGAUACAAAAAAAAAAAAAAAAAAAAA
rnacentral:lncRNA from 1 species